rnacentral:rRNA from 1 species
GAGUUUGAUCAUGGCUCAGAACGUACGCUGGCGGCACGCCUAACACAUGCAAGUCGAACGAAGUAGCAAUACUUAGUGGCAGACGGGUGAGUAACAUGUAGGUAUCUGCCCUUUGGCCUGGAAUAACACGAGGAAACUUGUGCUAAUACCGGAUAAGUCUUUACGGAGAAAGCUUUAUGCACCAUUGGAUGAGCCUGCACUUGAUCAGUUUGUUGGUGGGGUAAUGGCCUACCAAGACUGUGAUCAAUAGCUGAUUUGAGAGGAUGAUCAGCCACAUUGGGACUGAGACACGGCCCAAACUCCUACGGGAGGCAGCAGUGGGGAAUCUUGCACAAUGGAGGAAACUCUGAUGCAGCGAUGCCGCGUGAGUGAAGAAGGCCUUUGGGUUGUAAAGCUCUCUCGUCGGGGAAGAAAAUGACUGUACCCGAAUAAGAAGGUCCGGCUAACUUCGUGCCAGCAGCCGCGGUAAUACGAAGGGACCUAGCGUAGUUCGGAAUUACUGGGCUUAAAGAGUUCGUAGGUGGUUGAAAAAGUUAGUGGUGAAAUCCCAGAGCUUAACUCUGGAACUGCCAUUAAAACUUUUCAGCUAGAGUAUGAUAGAGGAAAGCAGAAUUUCUAGUGUAGAGGUGAAAUUCGUAGAUAUUAGAAAGAAUACCAAUUGCGAAGGCAGCUUUCUGGAUCAUUACUGACACUGAGGAACGAAAGCAUGGGUAGCGAAGAGGAUUAGAUACCCUCGUAGUCCAUGCCGUAAACGAUGUGUGUUAGACGUUGGAAAUUUAUUUUCAGUGUCGCAGGGAAACCGAUAAACACACCGCCUGGGGAGUACGACCGCAAGGUUAAAACUCAAAUGAAUUGACGGGGACCCGCACAAGUAGUGGAGCAUGUGGUUUAAUUCGAAGAUACGCGCAGAACCUUACCAACACUUGACAUGUUCGUCGCGACUCUAAGAGAUUAGAGUUUUCGGUUCGGCCGGACGAAACACAGGUGCUGCAUGGCUGUCGUCAGCUCGUGUCGUGAGAUGUUGGGUUAAGUCCCGCAACGAGCGCAACCCUCACUUUUAGUUGCCAUCAUUAAGUUGGGCACUCUGAAAGAACUGCCAGUGAUAAGCUGGAGGAAGGUGGGGAUGACGUCAAGUCCUCAUGGCCCUUACGUGUUGGGCUACACACGUGCUACAAUGGUAUCUACAACAGGAAGCAAGACUGCGAAGUUAAGCAAAUCCCUAAAAGAUACCUCAGUUCGGAUUGCACUCUGCAACUCGAGUGCAUGAAGCUGGAAUUACUAGUGAUCGUGGAUCAGCGUGCCACGGUGAAUGCGUUCCCGGGUCUUGUACACACCGCCCGUCACACCAUGGGAGUUGGUUCUACCUUAAGGCAAGGUUUUAAACCCUUGACCACGGUAUAGUCAGCGACUGGGGUGAAGUCGUAACAAGGUAACC